rnacentral:rRNA from 1 species
GGAAUUUUGGACAAUGGGCGCAAGCCUGAUACAGCCAUGCCGCGUGCGGGAAGAAGGCCUUCGGGUUGUAAACCGCUUUUGUCAGGGAAGAAACGGCUUUCUCUAAUACGGAGAGCUAAUGACGGUACCUGAAGAAUAAGCACCGGCUAACUAAGUGCCAGCAGCCGCGGUAAUACGUAGGGUGCGAGCGUUAGUCGGAAUUACUGGGCGUAAAGCGUGCGCAGGCGGCUUUGCAAGACAGAUGUGAAAUCCCCGGGCUCAACCUGGGAACUGCAUUUGUGACUGCAAGGCUUGAGUGCGGCAGAGGGGGGAUGGAAUUCCGCGUGUAGCAGUGAAAUGCGUAGAUAUGCGGAGGAACACCGAUGGCGAAGGCAAUCCCCUGGGCCUGCACUGACGCUCAUGCACGAAAGCGUGGGGAGCAAAC